CCUACGGGAGGCAGCAGUGGGGAAUCUUCGGCAAUGGGCGCAAGCCUGACCGAGCGACGCCGCGUGGAGGACGAAGGCCUUCGGGUUGUAAACUCCUUUUCAGGGGGAAGAAUAAGUCCGGGAGGCAAUGCCCGGGCGAUGACGGUACCCCUGGAAUAAGCCACGGCUAACUCUGUGCCAGCAGCCGCGGUAAGACAGAGGCGGCGAGCGUUACCCGGAUUCACUGGGCGUAAAGGGUGCGUAGGCGGUCGCGCAUGGCGUCGGUAAAAUCUCCCGGCCCAACGGGGAGAGGUCCGACGAAACUGCGGGGCUGGAGGGCCGGAGAGGGAGGCGGAACUUCCAGAGUAGGGGUGAAAUGCGUAGAUACUGGAAGGUCCCUCAAUAGCGAAGGCGGCCUCCUGGCCGGUUCCUGACGCUGAGGCACGAAAGCGUGGGGAGCAAACCGGAUUAGAUACCCUUGUAGU
rnacentral:rRNA from 1 species